GCGGUUAUACCAAGUGAUUAAGUUAUAUUUUUAGGUAAAAAGACAGUUAGGUUUAAUAUAUAAGCUUAUUAAACAUUUAUAAAAAAGUAAAAUUUGUAUAUAAAUAGCUAAUCUAAAAAUAGCUAAAUAAUACUGAAGCUGUGAUAGUCUUGAGGGAAACUGGGAUUAGAUACCCCAUUAUUCUUGAUUGUAAAUAUAAUUAAAUUUACCAGAGUACUAUGAAUAGUUAAAAAUUUAAAACUCAAAGGGCUUGGCGGUGUUUUAGACCUAUCAGGGGAACCUGUCUCGUAAUCGACAAUCCACGUAAUAUCUAACCUUAUUUUGUAAUCAGUUUGUAUACCGUCGUCGUCAGGUAACUUUUAAAAAUAUAGAAGUUAGCAAUUAAAACUAUUUUAAGUUAAAACGUCAGAUCAAGGUGCAGCCUAUAAUAAGGAGAGGAUGGGUUACAAUUAUAAAAAUUAUAAUUAUGGAAAUUUAAAUGGAACUUAUUUUGAAGGAGGACUUGAAAGUAAACUAAAAUACAUAAAUAGUUUGAAUAAGGCUCUG
rnacentral:rRNA from 1 species